GAAAAGUAGAGAGAGAAAAGCAGAGAAAAAAGUAGAUCGAGAUCUUCCCUCUCCGGUGUCCGACGAUCUUUGCUGGCGCCGUGAGAGGGUGGGUUACUGUCUUUUGUUCUGAUUUAGGAGGCAUGAAGAUUGUGAUUUUCUGGUGAGUCGCGUUUGGAUUGGUUUGUUUAUGUCGGUUCCUAUCUAGUUUCUGGUACGCGGUGGUUGUACUCAGCCGGUUCAGAUGUGGAUGCUUAAGUUUUCUCGGAUCUGGUCAGACAACCUUCCAAGCGAGGCAUCAGAGGUCAUAGGUCUUCCUAUCAUCUUCACUGCCUUUUGUCCUUUGCGUUCUUUUAGUGAGAAGAACUCUUAUUUCUUUAAAACGGCCGGUUAUCUUCUCCGGCGACCUGGCUUCCGUGUAUCGGGCUUCGACUCUGGCUUAUGGUGGCUACUUUAGCAUUGUUCGUUCCCGGUGGAUUAGCGGAUUUGAAAUUACGCCGGUCACUUUCUAGUCAUGAAGUUCGAUGGUGCUCUUGAUUCAGGUAACACGCUAAAGGUUAACGCAUGGAUGUGGGUUGAAUGGAUUGCGUUGGGCUUUAUUUUGUUUGGAAUUUAUGGGCCUCUUUGUUUAAUGUUCGUUUUGUUGCUAGCCGAGAUUUAUGGACUUUGUAUUUGUAUAACUUCGGUCGGUU